GCAACCUUAAAUUAAGUAAUUAAUCAUCUUGUUACUAAAGGUUACACAUACAACUUUUAUGAAGUUGAGAACAAAGACUAAAACCCAUCUUUCUACUUUAAUAGAUUACUAUAAGAGAUAGUCCAUUACAAAAAAAGCAGUUAAUUAGAAAAGAUCAAAACUUUUAUAGUGAACUUCAGCCUCAGAUAGUUGGUAUUCUUCUUUAACAUGGUUUGGGUACAAAGACCUUGAAAUCCCAGCAGCAGAAACAUCCAACAUUAUCACAGGAAAAAUCUCCGUCGACUUGUAUCCAUCUCCGGCUUGUGAACCCAUUCAUAUUCCCCACCCUUAGUAUCAAAAGUACCAUGCUGGAGACUGAUUAAUUUGAGAGUAAAUCGAGGCCCACACUCCUGCAGACGGGCAAUUGUCCUUUCUUGUGGGUUCUUCUCAUCCUUGCUUUUUUUACCUUUUGAUUCUUUCUGUUUGCUCUCUUUGGUUUCAAAAAUGUAGCGAUGAUGGCGAAAAAAUAUGAAAUCACGCUGGUUGUGGAAGGUCACAACUCGACGUCCACGAAAUUCGGGAUCUUGUGGAAAAAGUGACUGUAUCAUCCUCCCAACUCGAUGACCCAAACGUGUUGUGAAGUUGGUCAAAACCAGCUCAGGCUUGU
rnacentral:misc_RNA from 1 species